AUUGAACGCUGGCGGCAUGCCUUACACAUGCAAGUCGAGCGGCAGCGCGGGGGCAACCCUGGCGGCGAGCGGCGAACGGGUGAGUAAUACAUCGGAACGUGUCCAGUAGCGGGGGAUAACCUGUCGAAAGAUAGGCUAAUACCGCAUACGAUCUACGGAUGAAAGCGGGGGACCGCAAGGCCUCGCACUGUUGGAGCGGCCGAUGUCGGAUUAGCUAGUUGGCGGGGUAAAAGCCCACCAAGGCGACGAUCCGUAGCUGGUCUGAGAGGACGACCAGCCACACUGGAACUGAGACACGGUCCAGACUCCUACGGGAGGCAGCAGUGGGGAAUUUUGGACAAUGGGGGCAACCCUGAUCCAGCCAUGCCGCGUGAGUGAAGAAGGCCUUCGGGUUGUAAAGCUCUUUCGGCGGGGACGAAACGGUUCGUGACAACACCACGGACUAAUGACGGUACUCGCAGAAGAAGCACCGGCUAACUACGUGCCAGCCGCCGCCGUAA
rnacentral:rRNA from 1 species